UACAGAGGAUGCAAGCGUUAUCCGGAAUUAUUGGGCGUAAAGCGUCUGUAGGUGGCUUUUUAAGUCCGCCGUCAAAUCCCAGGGCUCAACUCUGGACAGGCGGUGGAAACUACCAAGCUGGAGUACGGUAGGGGCAGAGGGAAUUUCCGGUGGAGCGGUGAAAUGCGUAGAGAUUGGAAAGAACACCGAUGGCGAAGGCACUUUACUGGGCUAUUACUAACACUCAGAGACGAAAGCUAGGGUAGCAAAUGGG
rnacentral:rRNA from 1 species